UGGGGAAUAUUGCGCAAUGGGCGAAAGCCUGAUGCAGCAACGCCGCGUGAGUGAUGAAGGCCUUCGGGUCGUAAAGCUCUUUGAUCAGGGAUGAUAAUGACAGUACCUGAAAAACAAGCCACGGCUAACUACGUGCCAGCAGCCGCGGUAAUACGUAGGUGGCGAGCGUUGUCCGGAAUUACUGGGCGUAAAGGAUGCGUAGGUGGAUACUUAAGUGGGAUGUGAAAUCCCCGGGCUCAACCCGGGAACUGCAUUCCAAACUGGGUAUCUAGAGUGCAGGAGAGGAAAGCGGAAUUCCUAGUGUAGCGGUGAAAUGCGUAGAUAUUAGGAGGAACACCAGUGGCGAAGGCGGCUUUCUGGACUGUAACUGACACUGAGGCAUGAAAGCGUGGGUAGCAAACA
rnacentral:rRNA from 1 species